ensembl:lncRNA
UACAGGUUACAGUUGGGACAUCUUAUAUAUAUAUAUAUAUAUCAUACUAUAAAUAAUGGUUACUGGGUGGGUUGGUUGUAUCGCAAAACUUAUCGCUUUUGUUAUCACAGCUUGCUGUAAUAAUGCUAGACUAAGUGGGCAUGUCCUUCCAUCCUUUUUCUGAGGAUCGAAGAUAUUGUUUACAGGACAAUAGUACUGGAAACUGGAGACAGACAACUGGGAACACACAACUGAGAAACCCAUCUUUAAAUGUUCAAUUUAUGCAUCAGAUCUAGGCCUUAAAACGGUAAAUAUUUAUCGUGAUUUACUAUACCCUGAUUUUAAUAAAGCAGGAAGCUAUUAAAAACAAUUCAAAAUGAGGAGUUCAGUUUUUAACGUGUUAAGACUUCUGAUGUUUACAGAUCACUCAAGUUCGAUAUAAACACAUCACAAGGCCCUGAUUGUGUGGAGUCUGUAUUUCUAAACAUAGCAGUUGAUAUUAUUUCAUCUCUUUUAAUUUAUCAUUUUAAUCUUUCAUUAGACAAUGGGGUUAUACCAGAAAUUUGGAAAUCAGUUUUCUUAUUUAUUUAUUUAUUUAUUUAUUUAAAUUAAAUUAGGGAUAUCCAACUAUAUUAGAUCAUUACAAUCCAAUAACAAGGCCUCCUCGCCUAUGUCCCUUGUAGAAAGCUUUUUCAGUGAACCGUUCACAUGUUAUCAGUCUGCAAGAAGUCUAAGGUCAUAUAAACAUAUCAGCACAACUGUUGUUUUGAAAGUCUUAAGACAAUGUCACAGUACCCUCUGCACUUCCCUGUCUGUUGAUUUAGAAGAGGCUCUCAACACAGUGAAUCAGGAAAUAUUGCUGCAGAGAUUAAAUAAUGUUGGUCUAUCAAAUCAUUUAAAAAUUACUAAAGUAACCUACCUCCACUGUUCUAAUCACACGAUUAACACCUCUCAUAAAUUCCACUCUCAUGUUUAGUUAAUCUGUAAAAUAGUUCUAGUCUGUUUACUUCAACAAUACAAUCCCAAUUGGCAAUUAUACAUUCUUAUCCCUUCCUGAUUUUCAUUUACCAGAAAGAUAUUGAGAUAGGAGAUCAAAAUUCCUUUAGUCUAAAAAUUUGUGGUGUACACUAACCGAACAUAUUAAUAUCCCAUCUGUGCUAACGAGUGAUAAUCCCAAUAAGAUAGAACUAAAAUAGAGUAAAUGAGGUUGAGAUCUAGAUAUGCAUUUACAGUCCUCUAGCCACUUUUAUCCCACUAAUUUUCAUUCAAAACAACCUAGUGAAUUUGGCUUUAUGUGUACAGCACAAGUGUUUAGUCUAAAUGGUAUACAUGCAUGUACAUGCAUUUUGUUUCUUAAUAACUUAUAACUGUACCACACUCAAAAUAUCACUCAGAUCCUUCAUUCAUGACAAUUAAAUGUUGCUCACUUUGGAGGAAUGUGAAUAUGUAUUUAACUUAGUCUUAAAUAAAAUUUAUCAUCUGUGAGCUUUGUUUCAAUUUACCACCAAGUUGUUACCUUGGCUGAACGCCCAAUUGUAAGAAGCAUAAGAUUCGUCCUAUAAUUUUAUCCAUUUCAUUUAAACUGUAUUUGACCAUAUUAAGGUAGUGUUGAAUCUACUCAUAUCACAAACCACAUUUCCCAUCCUUCACUGCGGUCCACAAACAUGGCUGGCUGCCAUGGACUGCAAUUCCCAGAUCACACACACCUGCAUCCAGUUCUCAGCUCUCAGUUUUUAUCAGUUCUCAGCUGCUGUAUAACGUAUUAUCAAUUCAAUUCACUUCACAGGUUGUGCAGUAUAUCCUCCCUUUCUCGAGUUUGUGACCACUGCUUUAAAUAUUGUAACUCAUAUACUUUGUAUGACAUAUCCAUAGCACACCGUAUAGCACAUAUGUAUAUAUAUACACACACACACAUACAUACACAUACAUAUACACACCCACACAUAUAUAUUUGUAUAACUACUCUAUUCUAUUCACCAAUCUACGGUUCAGGAAAAAACAAAUCACUUCAAACUACACUGUUGUAAAGGGACCGUAAUUAACCUAACUCCCAAACUCAUAUCAGCACAACAUGUCGGAAAAAGGAACCCUUAUGCAAGGCUGUCUAAUCCAGAUACUCGUACUCCCUGCAAAACCCGAAUUCCACAUUAAGUAAUCAUCACCUUAUUCUAAUGUUACGGACUCAGAUAUCAUAUCUGUAACAGGCGUACAACACAUUACAAAGAAUUUAAAAUGUGCAGACUACUACUGCCAUCUGAUCUUACUAAUUACAUAUCAUUGGACAUAUACAGCAUUUAAAGAGAAAAUAUGCAGAAAUUAUUCAUCAUUAUGCAACAUGAAUACCACACGCCAGAAGAAUUCACAUUUACACUGCUUAAGAUAUUGUAUAGACACAUACCCGUAUAGGAAUCACCGAUACACAAAUUAGUUAUGGUUACUCCAGCUCUUGUUAGCGAGUCAGUUCAUGAAGGUAGACUGCUCUCUAAAACCAAAUGUUUAGGCUCAACAUUAUCUCAACAGGGAGGAUGUGACCUAGCCUGAUACGGACCACAUUGUGAUCAGCCAGAGACUGUUACCUCGGGUCGGUUUUACUUUUCAGGGUUUUUUAUUAAUAUCACUCAAAACGAACAGGUUCACAUGUCAAUUUUCUCAUUAGUCAGGAAAAGAUGCCUGUGCAGAAGAAACUAUGUGGCACAAUGCACACCACAUAAACUAUUAUUAAGGUUCUCUCCGGACUGAUAACAUCAAGACAUGCUGAUUGAUUUUAAUUUUUACAGGAAUAUAUCCACGUAUAUAUAUAUAUUGAAUCACUUUGACUUUAAUGUAGAGCGUGAGAUAACUAAAGGAUUGGAAAAAGGGGAAGAAACAGAAAUCUCUCGCACGCGCUCUCUCCCUCUCUCGCGCGCUCGGUGGUUUAGAUAACCGUCACCAUGGAACUCAAAACACUUUCAUUCAGUUUCCAAACAGGGAAACACACGGAAUUCAAAUUAAAAUGAAAAGAAUGAUUUGGAGCUUCGGCGCACAUGAUUCUGACCAGCCGUGUACCCAAUCUAAACAUGGAAUUGUGUACAAUCUGCGCAACACGGUCUCAAUCCAGUCUGGUGUCAUGCCAGGAGACUGAGGAGCCGGGCCGGACGGAGACCCUCCCUCCUAACUUGGAACACGCACAGUAACACCAUAAUACUAAACAAACAACAAACACACAUAAAACUCUUUUAGGCGAACCACACAGACAGUUUUGCAAAACACCCAUCAUUUUUGAGUUAUGACAACGUUAAAUUAAUUUCAACCAAUGAAGCACAUUGAGUUGGAGAAAUCACCUUUUCCUCUACAGUCAAAUGUCUUCCAUUAAAACUCAUUUAAUAAUCUGUAUAAUAAACACAAGUUUUUAACUUGAUUACUCAUAGAAAUAAUGUUGUUCCAACUAGUUUUUCCACAUUAUUUAAAAGGAAUUUAAGUGUUAUGUACUUAUUUACCUUAAUUGUGAACACAAUUUUUUUUUAUAUAUAAUUUACUAACUUCAAGUUGUAUAACAAUAGUUACCAAAAUACUACAAAUAUAAAUGAAAUUAAAUAUAAAUAUAAAUGGAAUAUAAAUGAAAGGUCCAAAUGGACUUUCUCCUCCACAUUUCGAGCGUCGGACUCACUCAUUUCUUAACAGUGCCUUCUGGGGCCUGAAAAUGCACACUUGUUUCCCCACCUUCAGUCUUCCUUUUCCCCUGGAUCACACAAUCGAAAGUAUGUACCAGAUUCAAAACAUUCGAAGACCGCAAGAUAUCUCACAAUGCUCUGCAUUACCAAGCUCACUCUGAAGAGCACACACACACCGAAUUGUCUUUCCUUUUUUCCUUUUUUUUUUUUUUUUGUCCUUCCUCCCUAUUUCCACACAGACGCGCAGAUAAGAACAGACAGGAACACACACAUACACCCCUCCUUUCUAUCAACAACGCCGGCAAGCUCCCAUACACACAUUGUAUUCCACAUUAUUACACUUAUUUAUGUUACUACAUGAAGUUUUCAAAGUAUAAAGCACCUCCAUACCAGCUCCGUAUGCAUGAAGCUUACAGUCAUACAAAUUAAAUCCAACUUUCUCCAAAAAAAAAUUCUUUUCUCUAAAUCUUAUCCCACUUAUCCAAUACUUUAUGUAUGGAGCUCAUGUUCAGAGCACUAAUAAAUACAUUUUCCCUGUCUCCAAAACUUACACGCUCUCACACCGCACUCUUAUUAUAAGCACAUAUAUUAUAAGCACACACAUUUGUUAGUACACAUUCCAUUCAUACACCGGGCAUGCUGUAUUGCACGACCCGGACCUGGGCCCAGGAUUUAUUCCCCUCUCUAUCCAGCCCUGGAAUCUAAUCUAUCUAUCUUUUAUCUAAUCUUUUUCCAGCGGUAUUAGGGGUCCCCACCAAUGCAGCCGCCACUAGUCUGCUAGUCUAGUCUAGUAGCCGGGAUCUGGGGUCUGAGGCCUCAUUUUCCACCUGCUUUCUAUCCCAGCCCUGGAGUAUUUCUCUGUUUCUCUUCUCUUUUUUCUACCUUUUUCCUACCUUUUUUCCCUUCCUCCAGCGGUAUUGCAGGACUUUCACUCACACAACACGUAUACCAUUUCUUUAUUACAAUUACAAAAAGUACAAGCUUCUACAAUCUACACUUCUCUUACCUCUUCUCACUCACUCAAGGUUCUUUUGGAGACCCACUUAGUCUUUCUUCCCACCCCGGGGCUUCUCAGUUGUAACAACAGACCACUAAAACAGAGCUUUGAAAUAACAGGCAUCUGCAAUGCCUUUUCCUAUACGGCCUGUCUGUUGCUUAGAGAGCGAAGUCUUACGGGAGAGAUUCCAGACAUAUAGAUCUUAGCCCAGUCCCAUCUGGGGUGCCAAAUGUUGGCUCAAAUUUAGCCUAUUACCCAAAAACAUUUAAAAUUCAACUUAGAAGCCCAUACUCACAUCUACCUCUGAGCCCAGUUGGAGAUAGAAAAAAUACACCAGCCGUGAGUGAGAAGAAGCAAGGGUCCAGCUUUAUUGUUCCGUUCCACCACACGAGAUCCACACCGAUGAGAAUUCUCAGAGGUGAUUCCAAUACCCUGAGCUUAAGCUCCAGUAUUUAUACUGUAUUUACACACUAAAUAACCCAUAUGUUUCAAAAAGACUAUGAUCUCACUACCAAUAGGGUUAAAAAAGAGCUCAUUUACCUUACUGUUAUGUUCCAGAAAGGGCUAUUUCACUUACACAUAGAAUUGAAAUCAGGGGUUUUAAUUUACACAUAAAAUCAGAACCCAGGCAUUUCUAAUAACCCAGAAAAUAAAAACCCAGUGUUUCUAGUUACUCAGAGGAUCAGAAACCAGAAUUUUCAGUUACCUAGGGCAUCAGAAACCAGAAUUUUCAGUUACCUUAGGGCAUCAGAAACCAGCAUUUUCAUUUACCCAGAGAGUAGACCGUGGACAAGACUAAACAACCUAGAGGGACCUUGGUCUUAUCGUUAUCUCGAGGGGGGGCAGUUUGACCCAGCCACCCUUAUAACUGGCUCCUCAUGGUUCUUUCUUAAAAUUAAGGCCUUCCUUGUGAGCCAAGAACCCUCACCAUUUGAGUCAUGAGUAAGUUUACAUUUUCCUGUAUUUCUAGUUUAUAAUUUAUUUUCAUAUAUGCACUAUAUUUCUUAUUUUAUAUAUAUUUAUACUACUUGAAAAGCGGUUUACUGUACUUCCAACUUCUUAAUAUCAUUACAGUUCUACUGUCCUGCAUAUCCUAUUCUGUUUUUUUUAAUAGAGUUUCUCUAUUACUAUAAGAUAUUAUUAAAGUUAUUCAUGUGUGUGUAUGAGAAAGAGAGAGUGUGUGUAUGUUGUGUCUACUUGCCCGCCCUUGACCGUACAAGCGUGUGUGUGUGUGUGUGUGUGUAUUAGCACUCCUCAGCUCAGCUCGUAUACCUCUUUUUGACUUUUUUGACUACUACUGCUCUUAAAGAUCUUUAAAGUGUAAUUCCAAUUUGUCAAUGUCCGCCUAAUCCCACUUCUAUGUGUCUAGGUGCCCGUCUUUUCUUCUUCUCCCCUUUAUUUUAUGACAUUUUUUAUCCACAACAAAGGUCAUGAUCAUAAAAUUAUUUAUAGUUAUGUUAAAUCUGGAUCACAUCCAUACGUGACAGAAACGUUACCAUACAUGGUACGGCCAUGUGUUUUCCACCCCACACACAUUGCACACAUGUUCUUUCUAACACUCUGUAGUAGGUCAUAAAAAUAUAUAUAGUUAUGUUAAAUCUGGAUCACAUACAUUUCGUGACACAAACGUUACCAUACCUGGUACGGCCAUGUGUAUUCCACCCACACACGUUGCACACAUGGUCUUUCUAACACUCUGAGGUAGGUCGUAAAAAUAUAUAUAGUUAUGUUAAAUCGGGUUCCCAUCUAUUCCUGACACAAACGUUGCUAGUUAUGUUAAAUCGGGAUCCCAUACAUUCCUGACACAAAUGUUACUAUACAUGGAAUGGCCAUGUGUAUUACACACAGACAUCCAAACAAAAAUAUGACACACACAAACACACUUUAUUUUCACAUUAUUUACAAGGAAUUUAAGUGUUAUGUACUAAAUUACCAUAAUGAUGAACACAAGUUGUUAAGUUGACAAUCAUUUUUAAAAUUACAUUUCUCCAUAUAGAUUGUCUGCAGUAGAAUGCAGUCUUUUAAACCAGAAAAAAAUGACUGCCUUUAAGUUUUAUAACAAUAGUAAGUAAAAUCCAGUGUGAUUUACAUUACAAAUCUCAUACGUAACAUCUCUGCAGGAUUUAUAGACGUUAAAGCACUGAAUGAAAUGAGCAAUAUAGACAAAAAUAAACACUCUGUGUCUACUACUUUGAUCUCUCUCAUAGAACUGUCCACAGUCCAAAGGCUGUGGAGCUAAAAGGCUACGUGUGCGAAUGACAAAAGCUUUUAAAAAAUAAAAUAAAAAAAUGUAUCAAUACAUGAAAUUAGAUUACACAAUGUAGUUGAGGUUUACAUGAAUAAGCAGAAAUGUAAUCAUUCUUAUCUUUCCUAUAGCACAAAUGAAAAGCCCUCUCUAGAUGAGCAGAUUUGUCAAAUGAAACUUUUUCCUUCUUAUCCACUGCAACGGUAAACUAAAGAGUAGAUAUUCCAAUUACACUGCUAAAUAUGACUAGCAUUAGCUACGUGUAGUAGUGCAAAAUAGUCCAUCAAAUGUAUUAGCAGGUGUAGCCUAUACACGAGUCCACUAUUGGUCAUAUCACUAUUGAGAACAUGCCCCAAAUUCAUUGCUUUAGUAGAAUUUAAUUGUAAGUGAAAUGAUACUCACAUUGUAAUGUCCUUAGUAUUUGUUCAGUCUACAGGUCCUCUAACACUCUGUUAAAUGAAUAAAUGUAAAUGUACUACAAUGUAAAUUUUGUUUUAAAUCAAUUAAUUCAGAAAUUACACACAAUAUUAAGUUGAUGUAAUUAUCAACAUUAUUAUGUCAACACAACUCAUCAAAAUAAUGUGUACAACUUUAAAUAUUUAAUUAAUUCAAUAAAUUAGAAUUUUUAUCUUGCAACCACACAUUAAAUUUAGAUUGUGGGGGUUUUGUUUUGUAUAGCUCCACUGUUAGAAAAUACAUGAUGGUUGAAUGUGAAC